UACAGAGGUGGCAAGCGUUGUUCGGAAUUACUGGGCGUAAAGGGCGCGUAGGCGGUUCGUUAAGUCCUGUGUGAAAUCCCCCGGCUCAACUGGGGAACUGCACAGGAAACUAGCGGGCUUGAGUUCGGGAGAGGGAAGCGGAAUUCCGGGUGUAGCGGUGAAAUGCGUAGAUAUCGGAAGGAACACCUGUGGCGAAAGCGGCUCACUGGACCACAACUGACGCUGAUGCACGAAAGCUAGGGGAGCAAACAGG
rnacentral:rRNA from 1 species